CAUGCGAGUCGUGCGCGUCCCCUCAGGUGCUUGCACCUGAAGGUGACGAGCGGCGUGCGGGUGCGUAACACGUAGAUUACCUGCCCUUGUGUGGGGAAUAACCUGGGGAAACUCGGGCUAAUACCGCAUACUACCGCCGGUCUUUCGACCGGCAGUCAAAGCCCUUCGGGGCGCGCAAGGAGGGGUCUGCGGUCUAUCAGCUCGUUGGUGAGGUAACGGCUCACCAAAGCGAUGACGGAUAGCCGGUCUGAGAGGAUGGUCGGCCACACUGGGACUUGAACAUGGUCCAGAGCCCUACGGGGUUUAGCAUGAAGGAAUCUUGCGCAAUGGGCGAAAGCCUGACGCAGCGACGCCGCGUGGAGGAUGACGCCGUUCGCGGUGUAAACUCCUUUUCUCGGGGAAGAUUAUGACGGUACCCAAGGAAUAAGCCCCGGCUAACUCCGUGCCAGCAGCCGCGGUAAUACGGAGGGGGCAAGCGUUAUCCGGAUUUACUGGGCGUAAAGGGCGCGUAGGCAGCAGAGCUAGCCGCUUGUGGAAGCUCCUGGCUCAACCAGGAGAUGCCAAGCGGAACGGCUCCGCUCGAGGCAGGGAGAGGGUCGCAGAACUGGCGGUGGAGUGGUGAAAUACGUAGAUAUCGCCAGGAAUACCCGUGGCGAAGGCGGCGACCUGGCCCUGUCCUGACGCUCAGGCGCGAAAGCGAGGGGAGCGAACGGGAUUAGAUACCCCGGUAGUCCUCGCUGUAAACGAUGGGUGCUGGGUGUUGGGGUCGGACUUUUCUCCGCCCUCAGUGCCCAAGGUAACCCGCUACGCACCCCGCCUGGGGAGUACGGCCGCAAGGCUGAAACUCAAAGGAAUUGACGGGGCCCGCACAAGCAGCGGAGCGUGUG
rnacentral:rRNA from 1 species